rnacentral:ncRNA from 1 species
ACCUAAUUUAAUAUUGGAUCCUAUAUAAGCUAGUAAUAUGGUCUAGUGUUUCUACAAUUAACCGUAAAUUAAUUACUAUGGUAAAAUUAUGUAAUUUU